GAUGAACGCUGGCGGCGUGCCUAAUACAUGCAAGUCGAGCGAACGGACGAGAAGCUUGCUUCUCUGAUGUUAGCGGCGGACGGGUGAGUAACACGUGGAUAACCUACCUAUAAGACUGGGAUAACUUCGGGAAACCGGAGCUAAUACCGGAUAAUAUUUUGAACCUCAUGGUUCAAAAGUGAAAGACGGUCUUGCUGUCACUUAUAGAUGGAUCCGCGCUGCAUUAGCUAGUUGGUAAGGUAACGGCUUACCAAGGCAACGAUGCAUAGCCGACCUGAGAGGGUGAUCGGCGACACUGGAACUGAGACACGGUCCAGACUCCUACGGGAGGCAGCAGUAGGGAAUCUUCCGCAAUGGGCGAAAGCCUGACGGAGCAACGCCGCGUGAGUGAUGAAGGUCUGCGGAUCGUAAAACUCUGUUAUUAGGGAAGAACAUAUGUGUAAGUAACUGUGCACAUCUUGACGGUACCUAAUCAGAAAGCCACGGCUAACUACGU
rnacentral:rRNA from 1 species